UGUCACUGGUGCUGCUGUAUCUGAACUGAACCAGAGCCUGUUCUGGAUUUGGACAACUUUAUUAAGACUUAAAUAUCACGGAGCUGCCCCCCAGGUUUCCUGUUUGCAGUUGGACCGGGAGCAGUCUGCCGGAGGCCGGGUCGUUUUGCCGAAAGGACAGGAGACCAACAGCAUACUGAUGAGAGAAUCAGGCGGGCUGAUCUAAUUGUCUCCAGGCUGCUGCUAAAGUGGACUCUGACAGAGAAAUGGGAUCUAGAUCAACAUUUCAGUGCAAGGCUCAUGCACCAAUAUCUGGCUGAAGAAAUUGCACGCUGAAGUCAUUUGCAGUGGCUGUUACACAUGUUUGUGUUGUUCACUGUCUCUCAGCUGCAGAGUCCAGGGAUGGUCCCUCUUUUCAAAUUACAGAGAGUCAUGCAUUUGUAUUUUCAAACACAGCGCUGGCCUGAAAACUAGACCUGAAAGUGUGAAGAGGCAGACCCCUAAGGUGCAGUGUCUCUAAAUAUAUUUUUGUAAUAAAACUCAACAAGAUAAAAAAACUAUCAUUCAAGGAAAUUUGCCGUAAUACAGUCUUAUUGUUAAAAAAAAACGGAUAAUAUUCCACACAAUAAAAAAUGGUUCCAUGAAAAGCAACGGGUGACAUUCAAUCAAUAACAGCAGGACUCAUAGAAAAUAAUGUAAUUGCUCUUAAAAUGCAACACUAUUUAAUUCCUGAUGGUUUUGCUCAGCAGUGGCUGCUUCGUGUGGGUUAUUUCUGGGUUGAGCCGUCAUGCUUAUUGAUGAGCAUGAGCAUGACUUAUUACUGUUAGCCUCUGCAUGCUUGCAGGUGUGAAUGCUGCUGGCUCCCAGUUUGCUGUUUUUUCUGCUGAAUCACAAUGUAUUCAUUUGCAAUCUGUGCUGUGUUUGCUUAUACUUUGCAUAUUUAAAAAUGUACUUGAACUCUUAUGAUUCUACAUCUAUUAAUGGGUUCAAAAAUGACAUUAUUAUUGUGAAAACUAUUUGUUCAGUCAUCACAAUGGUCAGUUAUCUUCAAUAAAAACAUGCACUCGA